UUCUGGCUCAGAACGAACGCUGGCGGCAGGUCUUAGGCAUGCAAGUCGAACGGAUGACAGAGAGCUUGCUCUCUGAAGUCAGUGGCGCACGAGUGAGUAACGCGUGGGAAACUGCCCUUCACUGGGGAAUAACGUUUGGAAACGAACGCUAAUACCGCAUACGCCCGCAAGGGGAAAGAUUUAUCGGUGAUGGAUGUGCCCGCGUUGGAUUAGCUAGUUGGUGGGGUAAUGGCCUACCAAGGCGAUGAUCCAUAGCUGGUCUGAGAGGACGAUCAGCCACGCUGGAACUGAGACACGGUCCAGACUCCUACGGGAGGCAGCAGCUAAGAAUAUUGGGCAAUGGAGGAAACUCUGACCCAGCCCAUGCCGCGUGAAUGAAGAAGGCCUUCGGGUUGUAAAGUUCUUUUAGUCAUGAAGAUGAUGACAGUAGUGACAGAAAAAGCACCGGCUAACUUCGUGCCAGCCGCCGC
rnacentral:rRNA from 1 species